UUAAUACCAUCACCAAACUCCUAAAGGAUGAGCAGUGUGUAGUGGUCAGGAAAAGAGGCCACACGGUAUUUGAUCAGAUGAGAAACGACAAGAACCGUAUACUGGAUGAUAGAAAAGUCGGAAUAUAUGCCAUUCCCUUAUAUAACAACGACGAAAAAUGCAUACAGUGGUACAUCGGCAGCACAAAACGAAACUUAAAAGAAUAGAAGAACAUAAGCUGGAUAUUUCUAAGGGAAGAACAAGCACUGCCUUGGCUAUGAAAAGCUACGAGCAAGAUGUUAUGGUAAACUGGAGCCAGGCUAAAGUUAUUAAACCCCUAAGGGACAGCGUUUGCAUCAUUGUAGCAGAGGAUAUUGAGAUUGAAAAAAGAAGGCUAUUGAUGUGCGUUAUAAACGACAACCAACUGACGGAGUUACCCAGUGC
rnacentral:lncRNA from 1 species